rnacentral:antisense_RNA from 1 species
AAGCAGUUCGCCGUAAAAGUCUGCUGCCGGAAACGUAUACGCCCCUAGUUUCGGACAUUGAAUCGUAAUCGUGACAUCGGCGCAAACAGCGGUUUCGACCUCUCCUCCGUCCGCCGCCGUUCCGCUCGGAAGAUCGAUCGCAUAGACAAAUGCGCGAGAUCGGUUGACAAGCUGAAUGAUUUCUUUAUACGGCGACCGUACCUCCCCUUUAAUUCCAAUACCAAGCAAGGCGUCAAUGAUGACAUCGUAUUGUAAAAUAUGUGAGGC